GACGAACGCUGGCGGCGUGCUUAACACAUGCAAGUCGAACGAUGAAGCUAGAGCUUGCUCUAGUGAAUUAGUGGCGAACGGGUGAGUAACACGUGAGUAGCCUGCCCCGAACUCUGGGAUAACUGCUGGAAACGGUAGCUGAUACUGGAUACGACCUACGAAGGCAUCUUCUGUAGGUGGAAAGAAUUUCGGUUCGGGAUGGACUCGCGGCCUAUCAGCUUGUUGGUGAGGUAAUGGCUCACCAAGGCGACGACGGGUAGCCGGCCUGAGAGGGUGACCGGCCACACUGGGACUGAGACACGGCCCAGACUCCUACGGGAGGCAGCAGUGGGGAAUAUUGCACAAUGGGCGCAAGCCUGAUGCAGCAACGCCGCGUGAGGGAUGACGGCCUUCGGGUUGUAAACCUCUUUUAGUAGGGAAGAAGCGAAAGUGACGGUACCCGCAGAAAAAGCACCGGCUAACUACGUGCCAGCAGCCGCCGCCG
rnacentral:rRNA from 1 species